rnacentral:rRNA from 1 species
GGUUGCGAUCAUACCAGCACUAAUGCACCGGAUCCCAUCAGAACUCCGCAGUUAAGCGUGCUUGGGCGAGAGUAGUACUAGGAUGGGUGACCCCCUGGAAGUCCCCUUGUUGCAACCC